CGAAAAAGGUCAAAGAUAUUCGUACAGAAAACUGUUAAAAGCAAUGAUAACGGUGCAUGCAGUGAGUGUAAAAACAAAUAAUAACAAUAAUAAAGAAUUCAUACAACAACAACUGCUACUGCUGACGACCAAGUACGUGUGUGUUGAAAUUUCAGAGCCAAAACAAACGGAUCGAAAGUUGUGUGAGUGUGGCGUAAAACAAAGCAAAAAUAAACCAAAUUCGGUGAAAGUUUGAAUAUUUGAUAUUUUUAUGCCAUUCAUGAUCAGAAUGACGGGUUGAGUUGAUCGAGCCACAUCCGACUGAUUGGUCUGUUUGUAAGAAACUAAUCCCUCCAGUUUUGAGAUAUGUCAAUCAAACUUGUAUUCAACUCGCCUUCGCCCGAUCGAAGAUCAGAAAAUUAUAAUCCGUUGUACAUUCAGCAAGUUACCUAAACUCUUUUCACUAAGGCAUAAAUCCUUUUCCACUUCCACAACAUUUUCACCACAAUUUUCCGGAGUUACCUUUCAAUUGACCAAUUAAAAUUCCAUUUCGUUAUUUUACACCUUUUUAAAUUCUUAUUAU